rnacentral:lncRNA from 1 species
CGCACCACUGCAUUCCAGCCUGGGUGACAGAGGAAGAACCUGUCUCAAAAUAAAAAAAUAAUAAUAAAAAAAUAAAAAAAUCACCCUCAUUUCCAUGGCCAGUAAUAAAAAGAGAAACAGAAAUUUUAAUACAGGAAUGAUUACUGUAUUUCUUUGUGGGAAUUGUGGUAAGUUGGUAUUUCAGAACAGGCAUGUAACCCCUUCUGCCCAAUGACACUGGAGGGAAAGUCUACUGCUGGGUAGGGGUGGGGCUUUAGAGAACGGCUUCAUGUUACACAUCCUUCACCAGAGCAUUUUCUUCUGAAAAUCCUUUGUAGCAGAUUCUAUUAGCUUCAGGUAACAGGCAAUUAUGUGCUUUAAGAGAGAACCCCUCUCCCAGGAAGUGAACGUGAUUGGCACACCAACUGGGAUUUACCAUGAGCAUGUGAUGCUUAGGCUACGGCAGCCAUCUUGGUACCCUGAGAAGAGUCACCCUAAGAGAAGAUGCCAGCAUUCUAGGAAAAGCAGGGCGGGGAUGGAGAAAAAAUCCAGGGCCUGGAUGACAUUGCUGAGCUGCUGAGUUAACCUAGAACUAUCCUAACUCAAGAUUUCUCUUUAUAAGAAUCUCUCUUGCAGGAGUAACACAGGCAUGUGGAGAAUUUCUCAGAGUAUUUCCGCAGCAACCAACUGGCAUGAAGAAUACUUUGCUGAAACAUGGGGUUCAAAAGCAGCCCACAGCUCUCUUUCAGACCUCUGAAGUCACACCCAGUGGUCUAGUCAACAUUUCCUCUUGCAGAGAUUGUAAAGGUUUCAAUCUUAACACCAUGUGACUAAUUCGGUCUCUAUGAUCAAAGCCUUAUAAGAAAGAAUGACUGGUUGACCCGACAUGGACCAAGUGACCGUUCUUGUUCCCAGUGUGUUGUGGGCUAAGAAGAGAUGGGCACAGAAUGAUGGGAACGCAGAGCGAAAGGGCCCAACUCUACCAGGAGGGGAAGAUAAAAACUCCUGAAGAAAUUAUACAAAAAUAGAAUACUUACAACAGAAUUCUCAACAUCAUUUUUCCCUGUUUGAAUCCAGCAAGUCAGCCAUUGGUCACUUAAGAGCACUAACCCCUCCCUGGUUUGAAGAUGUUCUUGACUUUAAAUACAAACAUCUGAUAUUCCAGCUUAGACUCCUCCACAAGAACUAGAGUGUCAUCCUAUUUUGGCUUCCAGCUCAGUCCCUCUGCUACAAGUCUUGACUCCAGAACUCUGUGGGAUAAUAAAAUACAAGAUCAUAGCUUGAAAAUAGAGCGUGCAUCUGGUGUGGUUUGUUGUUUUGGCUUAAUUAGGACUUGCCGUUUCCUGAAUUCCUGUAAUCUCAUUUGAUGAAUUGUGUUGGUUACUUGCUCUGCAGGCUUUGAGCAUGUGGCACAUAUCAGAGGAAAUGAUUUCCCCUUUCUUCUUUGAAAAUCAUCUUCUGGUGCAUUAAAAAAAGAAAGCCAAUGUUUUUGGAUUUCUUUAGCUGUCCAUAGAAUUAC